rnacentral:lncRNA from 1 species
UUUCCGCUGUUUUGUCAAAAGUCUGUCAUGUUUACUCUACUUUAAAACUUGAAAUGAUAUUAUAAAUAAUAUUUUGGCCUUAGAAUCAUGUUUAUUGUUGUCCGAGUGGCUUAUAUGAUAUUUUUUGACUGAGUAAGGCCGAUGGCCUGUAUUGUGAGGUACUGUUGGAUCGGGUUGCAUGCCGCAGCAAUAUAUAUAUGGAUCGGGUUGCACGUCACAAUAGUGUUAUACUGAUCCUUAUAUGAGGUCGAGGGCCAAGAUUCGAUGCCACGAGAUGGCUUGAUAUUGUUCUUGGGCUGUAAGGGGCCCCUCCCAGAGUAUGCACACCCCCAGUGAUCCUCGUUGACGAAAUAUGUAUAUCUGUUGCACUCUGCAGUGGUAUAUGGAUCGGGCUGCAGGUCACAACGGUAUAUGGAUUAGAAUGCAUGCUGCAGCGGUAUAAGGAUUGAGUUGUACGCCGCAACGGUAUAUGGAUCGGGUUGCAUGCUGCAGUGCUACUGGUACUGUUUUAUGUGUUAACGUAUUCAUUUGUCUGCCAUUAUCUGUUGUUGUGUUAUUUCAUGUGAUAUCUACCAUAUUGCCCAUCAUUAUCGGUUAAUUGAGUGUUGUGCCCGAGGCGCGAUUUCUAUGCUUAUCUACGUUAUUGUUUUGCAUUCAUUUUCGUAACCAUUAAAAAAGUCAUUUUCCAAAGAGGUUUAAACUGAGCUAAGAUGUUUUUUUCUAAAGAUGUCACAGCUUCAAUGCUUUUCGCAAAGAGUUUUACACUACUCUAUGCAACGUAUUGGUUGCCUUACGUGAUUUGUUACUACUCAGUUAUUAUUUACCUUUAUUACACAAUGAGUUGUAGUACUCACGUUACUCCAUGUACCUCGUGUGUAGAUGCAGGUAUUUGUUCACCCGGUAGCGGGUUUUGAGCUGAUUGGAGGUUAAGUUAUCAGAGUUUAGUGAGGUUACUUCCAGCGUUCACAGCACCGCAUUUCUUCCUUUUGUUGUCAGUCCUAUUUUGUACAUUUCAAACCUUAUAGUUGUAUUCAAACUCUAAUAGAUGCUCAUGACUUGUAACACCC